GCAAGUCGAACGGAGUUUUAACGGAAGUUUCGGAUGGAAGUUUAGAACUUAGUGGCGGACGGUGAGUAACGCGUGGGUAACCUGCCUCGAAUACAGGGGGAUAACAGUUAGAAAUGACUGCUAACACCGACAUAAGUAUAGCGAAACCGCAUGAUUUUGCUAUCAAAUAUUUAUAGGUAUGAGAUGGGCCCGCGUCUGAUUAGCUAGUUGGUGGGGUAAAGCCUACCAAGGCGACGAUCAGUAGCCGGCUUGAGAGAGUGACCGGCCACAUUGGGACUGAGACACGGCCCAACUCCUACGGGAGGCAGCAGUGGGGAAUAUUGGACAAUGGGGGAAACCCUGAUCCAGCGAACGCCGCGUGAGUGAAGAAGUAUUUCGGUAUGUAAAGCUCUAUCAGCAGGGAAGAUAAUGACAGUACCUGACUAAGAAGCCCCGGCUAACUACGUGCCAGCAGCGGC
rnacentral:rRNA from 1 species